AUGAACGUAGAAUCAUACAAACCGGCUGGUGCAGAAGGAUCUGUUCCUUUAAAAGAAUGCCCAAUGAAAUGCAAGAUCCGUUGCUCAGCUACGUCACACAAGAAACCAUGCAAUUUCUAUUGUAACUACUGCUGCAAGAGGUGCCUGUGUGUUCCGUCCGGCACGGUGGGCAACAAGGAAGAAUGCCCGUGCUACAACAACUUGAAGACCCAGGAUGGCAAGCCUAAGUGCCCGUGA
rnacentral:rRNA from 1 species